rnacentral:tRNA from 1 species
GAGGAUAUAGCUCUGUGGUAGAGCACUUGCCUAGGAUGCAGGAGGUCUUGGGUUCAAUCCCCAGUCUCUUUG